GUGAAAGAGUGAAGCUGCCAGCAUGAUCUAGCUUUGAUCCAAUGUAUGUCUCUACGUGUGGAUCCUUGUUAGAUCAUGCCUGACAGCCUCAUUUCUUCGCAA